GAUGAACGCUGGCGGCGUGCUUAACACAUGCAAGUCGAACGGGAUCCAUCAGGCUUUGCUUGGUGGUGAGAGUGGCGAACGGGUGAGUAAUGCGUGACCGACCUGCCCCAUACACCGGAAUAGCUCCUGGAAACGGGUGGUAAUGCCGGAUGCUCCCGUUGAUCGCAUGGUCUUCUGGGAAAGCUUUCGCGGUAUGGGAUGGGGACGCGUCCUAUCAGCUUGACGGCGGGGUAACGGCCCACCGUGGCUUCGACGGGUAGCCGGCCUGAGAGGGAGACAGGCCACAUUGGGACUGAGAUACGGGCCAGAGUCCUACGGGAGGCAGCAGUGGUGAAUAUUGCACAAUGGGCGGAAGCCUGAUGCAGCGACGCCGCGUGAGGGAUGGAGGCCUUCGGGUUGUAAACCUCUGUUAUCGGGGAGCAAGCGAGAGUGAGUUUACCCGUUGAAUAAGCACCGGCUAACUACGUGCCAGCCGCCGCAGUAAUCC
rnacentral:rRNA from 1 species